rnacentral:rRNA from 1 species
GACGGGGGAUGCAAGCGUUAUCCGGAAUCACUGGGCGUAAAGCGGCUGUAGGUGGUGAUGCAAGUCACUGGUGCAAAACUCUGGCUCAACCGGAGGAAAGCCAGUGAAACUGCAUGUCUAGAGUGUGGGAGAGGUAGAAGAAAUUCCCUGAGUAGCGGUGAAAUGCGUAGAUACAGGGAAGAACACUGGAGGCGAAAGCGUUCUACUGGAACACAACUGACACUGAGAGACGAAAGCUAGGGGAGCGAAUGGG